CAGGGAGACAACACAAUGAUUUUGAUGCCUGAGUACUUUUAUUCUUAGGCCGAAAUCCUGUCACCUUAGGUCGAUCGGUACCUCAGCGUUGAAGCAACAGAAUUAACAGAGAUGUUGAUGCGUGUUGUGGAGAUGAUCAGUUCCUAAACUUUGUCUAGGUCACACCCCACAAGGGUUGAGUUUUCCUGGGCCAUUAGCUCAGGUGGUUAGAGCGCACCCCUGAUAAGGGUGAGGUCCCUGGUUCAAGUCCAGGAUGGCCCAUUCGGUGUUGGGGGUUUAGCUCAGUUGGUAGAACGCCUGCUUUGCAAGCAGGAUGUCAGGAGUUCGAGUCUCCUAACCUCCACUGACCGAACUCAAUCUCCAUUGUCCGGUUACCCGGAGGAUGAACUCGAGGGAAUGUGAUUUAGAUGUGUCCACUAGAUAGGACCCUAGCUUCCUGUCAUUCCGAACAAGUGAUGAUUGCUUGAUUGGUUGAUAUGAUGCUGGGCUCAGAUUAAUCGAAAGAUUAAUUUGAUCUCUAGUAGAACCUUGACAACUGCAUAAGUAAGUCUGGAAAAACGAAGCAUCUUACAGAUGCAUUGUUUUAAGUCUAAAUUCUCGAAAGAGAGUUUAGAUCUAGAAUGAUGAAAAUUCUUUUAAGCAAGAGCCGAGACUCUUAGAUGUUCUUUUUAUCGUGUCGAGCGAUAAGGAGUUUGAUUUUGUUUUUAUGAGUAGCGAAAGUUGCUGAUGAAACCAGAAGAAUCUGCUUUCAACCGCAGUAAGCGUUUAAGAGGUUAAUU
rnacentral:tRNA from 1 species